GAUGAACGCUGGCGGCGUGCCUAACACACGCAAGUCGAGCGAUCUUCUUCGGAAGAGAGCGGCGGACGGGUGAGUAACGCGUGGGUAACCUGCCCUGUACACACGGAUAACAUACCGAAAGGUAUGCUAAUACGGGAUGAUAUAUGAAAGUCGCAUGGCUUUUAUAUCAAAGCUCCGGCGGUACAGGAUGGACCCGCGUCUGAUUAGCUAGUUGGUAAGGUAACGGCUUACCAAGGCGACGAUCAGUAGCCGACCUGAGAGGGUGAUCGGCCACACUGGAACUGAGACACGGUCCAGACUCCUACGGGAGGCAGCAGUGGGGAAUAUUGCACAAUGGGCGAAAGCCUGAUGCAGCAACGCCGCGUGAGCGAUGAAGGCCUUCGGGUCGUAAAGCUCUGUCCUCAAAGAAGAUAAUGACGGUACUUGAGGAGGAAGCCCCGGCUAACUACGUGCCAGCAGCCGCGGUAAUACGUAGGGGGCUAGCGUUAUCCGGAAUUACUGGGCGUAAAGGGUGCGUAGGCGGUCUUUCAAGCCAGAAGUGAAAGGCUACGGCUCAACCGUAGUAAGCUUUUGGAACUGUAGGACUUGAGUGCAGGAGAGGAGAGUAGAAUUCCUAGUGUAGCGGUGAAAUGCGUAGAUAUUAGGAGGAAUACCAGUAGCGAAGGCGGCUCUCUGGACUGUAACUGACGCUGAGGCACGAAAGCGUGGGGAGCAAACAGG
rnacentral:rRNA from 1 species